AAAGCACAGAGAAGGAAAGUGUUUUCACCAAAUGUGAGACAUUCACUUUCCUUCUAGUCCACUGAGCUUAUUUGAGAAAGCCUUGUCAGCUUUGUGUUGUGGAAAGCACACAUCUGCAUGUUUUGAAAAUACUGUCUUUUAAUGACACCUUCAUUCUUCAACCUGAUUUUUAUAGUGUGGGUUUCAAAGCAACCCCUCAAACAAGCUUAACUAUGUUUAAGCCAUAAUGAAGGAAGAUCUCCUUGUGUUUGUGUCUGUCUUUCCAGCCUACAUCAGUUUGCUGUUGAGAGGACUGCAUACUUUAGAAGGAAGAGAAGUCUAACAUAAUCCAGGCUCAGAAAUGUCCCCAAUCUUCUUCAUUUCUCUUUGUGUAAUGUGGAAUUUUACCUUCUUUGUACCCUGCCUGAGUGAUCUUCACACAUCUUAGUGAGGAGCAAAAAAUUUGUGAAGAUUUCCCUGGAUUUGCAUGAAGGUCUCCCAGGGAAGCUCUUUUUAUGGGACGUGCGGCCUCUGAGGGACGAUUCCAGAAUGGCUGUCAAACACAAAAGUCUUCAGUUGUCAUCAGUGUGAGCAUAUUCAGGUGUUGGGCUUCCCAGCGCAGCGCUCCUGGGCAUUCGAGAAAUGAUACAACGGGAAGCUGCAGUCCAUGUUUGGGAAUUACUAGUGCAAGCUUCUCUGUGAUUGAGAUGACUUCUAAUGGGACACAGCAGUGUAGUCACAGGGAGAGAGAGAGGUUGAAAUGUGUGAAUCUCCAUGGGGAUUUUGAACAGUAUCUCAGUUUGGUUUUGCAUGUGUGUCUGGGUAUACGCAAAUGACAGCUUCAAAAUAAUUUCAUUGUGUGCUCCUCUCUACUGCCAAAACAUCUGAUGCAUCAGUAGAUUCCAUGGUCAUAAAGCUAAAUCCUACAUUAGUUUUAGACUAUAAGAAGCUGAAAUCAUUAAGUCCUUCUAGAAGACAAUGUUGGAUGCUAAGAGAAGAGGACCAUAUGAUGAUAAUUUUCACUCUGUUCACUGUCUUCAGCACUCAGUCAAUCUUUUGGAUGUUUUCUGGUGGGAGGAGGUGGAUGUGUGCUUGUGUCAGUCCUGUUACUGCGAAGAAUUUGAUUCAUUGGG